rnacentral:rRNA from 1 species
UACGAAGGGGGCUAGCGUUGUUCGGAAUCACUGGGCGUAAAGCGCACGUAGGCGGAUUGUUAAGUCGGGGGUGAAAUCCUGAGGCUCAACCUCAGAACUGCCUUCGAUACUGGCAAUCUCGAGUCCGGAAGAGGUGAGUGGAACUCCGAGUGUAGAGGUGAAAUUCGUAGAUAUUCGGAAGAACACCAGUGGCGAAGGCGGCUCACUGGUCCGGUACUGACGCUGAGGUGCGAAAGCGUGGGGAGCAAACAGG